rnacentral:misc_RNA from 1 species
AGCAAAUGAAAAAGCCUACAACUGCAUGCAUGGAAUUGAAAUGAGCAAAAGAUCCACAUGACCACCACUAAGUAUCGAGGAGGUCAAAUAUUUCCCACAACCACCAGUGAGCGUAGGAAAAUUUGCCUACGAAGUACUAUGACAGCAUGAGACCCUAAUGCACUCAUUUAAAUCUUCAUUGACACAAAACAAAUGGUAUAUUGAACAACUACAAUCUUUCACAUUCAAGAUCAUUUUCCAUACCAAUAACCUAACAUCUUGUUUUCAUGGGGUGAACUG